rnacentral:lncRNA from 1 species
GGGGAGCUCGGAGACCCAAAGGUUCGACGGGGCGGCCGGCGUCCAGGCGCGAGCGGCUCUGGGCUGGGACCGAGACCGGGCACCGGCGUCCCGCGGGGCGGGGGUGGGGGAUUGGGCAGAGGAGCAGGAGAUUCCGAGCCAGACCGGCCUGUGUCUGUCUCGUCCCUCCCCGUUUUCCGCGCCGGCGUCGGGCCCAGGGUGACGGCAGCCCGGCCAACGGGGUCAGCGCCAAGCAGCUGGCGGCGGCCGCGGGCGGUUCUUGGAAAGCGCGAGAGGCUGGGCCUGGCCGCCGUAUUUGCUCCGACACCGCCCCCCGCCCCCCCAGCUCGUCACCCCGCCUGCGUGCGCCCGGCCCCCAGACCCUGCCUGGGACGCCCCCCAACUAACUCCCUGCUGGGACGGGACCCCACAGCCCUGGGGAGUGUCGGGCCCCUUGGAUCAGAGCGCGAGUCCCCGCGGCCGCCCCCAGGACGGAAGAGCGAGGGGGGCCCGGGGGCAGACACAGGAGUCCCCGCCCCGUCGGACCCGGGCCUGGGGGGCGGGAGGCGGCCGUGCCCGCGCCUGGAGGGUGUCCUGGCCCGAAGGCCGCAGUCCGGGCGGGAGUCUGGACCCGAGAGCCUGGGG